GAUGAACGCUAGCGGGAGGCUUAACACAUGCAAGUCGAGGGGCAGCACUGAUAGCAAUAUUAGGUGGCGACCGGCGGACGGGUGAGUAACGCGUAUGCAACCUACCCUUUACAGGGGGAUAGCCCGGAGAAAUUCGGAUUAAUACCCCAUAGAUCAGUGAUUCUGCAUGGGAUUACUGGUAAAGCUUCGGCGGUAAAGGAUGGGCAUGCGUCCCAUUAGCUAGUUGGUAGGGUAACGGCCUACCAAGGCAACGAUGGGUACGGGGUCUUAAAGGAUGGACCCGCACACUGGCACUGAGACACGGGCCAGACUCCUACGGGAGGCAGCAGUGAGGAAUAUUGGUCAAUGGGGGGAACCCUGAACCAGCCAUCCCGCGUGCAGGAAGACAGUUCUAUGGAUUGUAAACUGCUUUUCUUGGGGAAGAAUAAUGACGACGUGUCGUCAGAUGACGGUACCCGAGGAAUAAGCAUCGGCUAACUCCGUGCCAGCAGCCGCGGUAAACUGU
rnacentral:rRNA from 1 species